ensembl:lncRNA
AUUCCCCCAGAGAGUCUGUCUGCACUUGGUCCAAUCGGGCCAACUUCAGCGUCAGCCCACAUCUUUGCUCUCCUCCCAGGGUUUCUGUGGCCACAGCGCCCCUCCCCUUCCUUCCUUCCAUUCUUGCCACUCCACUAAGCCUAGUCUCAUACGAAUAUCUGUUUCUUGUGUAAAGUAGCCAGUGACUUGGACAGUUUUCCCUGAAACUACAUUAGAGACAUCGCUUCAUCACAGAACCUGAAAUGGGCCACUAGCUGCCUCAUACCUGGCUGAGCCUUGAAAUUUCCAGUUUCCCUGGGACAGGUCCAGGUCUUGGGUAUUGGCCUGCUCAACAACUCCAGUGCCGGGAUGAAGGUGUUGUGUGUCUAUAAGCAUGACUGAGUUAAACUGAACACUUCAUUACUGGAGCAUCGGUAAAGAGGUUUUAAGGAACUAGGUCCCAGCCAUCAUCAAGCUCUUCUCAGCCGCCACACAGUGCACCAAACACUGGGCGAGCAGGUUUUAUAGAUUGAACCUGAGGCCUGGCACAUGCUAGGCAAGUGCUGUACCGUGAAGUUGUGCCCCAAGCAUCUUGCUAGCUGACCUGCCAUCGUAGAAGUAUUUACACCAGGGAAAUUGGCAAACACUACCAUCAGGAGCAGAAGAGGUGCUGAGUGAAAGUAUAAGGAUUAGAUGAGAUUACCUGGAUCACUCCCAAGACUGGAUUUUUUGAUUUCUUCUCCACUUUGGGAGCCUUCUCACAGAUGACUGAGAGACAACACAGAUGACUGGGAGAAAACUUCAGAGCCACAGGAUUCCCCUCCCUUUUGCCUUUUAUUUUGAGGUUUGGAUUCCCAGAGUCCAUGGGAAGAUGGACAGUCGUGGCAGCUCUUCUCUAAUCCCACUGCUCAGAGGGGAGUCCUGAAGCAAGCUGGAAAAUCAAAUUAGCUUCAUCAGCAAGCUCUGAGUUCAGUUGAGAGAGCCUGCCUCAAUAAACAAGGUGAAAAGUGAUGGAACAGGACAGUGUCGUCAAGCUCACACUCCACAUGUAUGAACACACAUAUGUGCCUAGUACACAUCUAUACAUACACAUAUGCAAACAUACAUAAACACACAUGUGAAUAUUUGUGUACAUAUCCAUGCACACUAUAUUCAUACAAAUGAGAGAAAAUGUUUGGGCAGCAUUCUUUCAAAGUAAUCUCCUCUAGGCAUUUUGUACUCUGUAAUUUUAACUUAUUUUUGCUGGUUUCAUGGCAGUCUGGAGCUGCUAGAAUACUGAAAGUACAAAGCCACUUUAAUGAGUAUGAAAUGAUAUAUGUAAUAUGUGUAACAAGGGCUCCACUCUCCCACAGGGCAAC